UGGGGGAUAUUGCACAAUGGGCGAAAGCCUGAUGCAGCGACGCCGCGUGGGGGAUGAAGGCCUUCGGGUUGUAAACUUCUUUUGCUCUGAACAAGGCGCACCAUGGGGUGUGUUGAGUGUAGGGGUUGAUUAGCGCCGGCUAACUACGUGCCAGCAGCCGCGGUAAUACGUAGGGCGCGAGCGUUGUCCGGAAUUAUUGGGCGUAAAGGGCUUGUAGGUGGCUGGUUGCGUCUGUCGUGAAAGCUCAUGGCUUAACUGUGGGUUUGCGGUGGGUACGGGCUGGCUUGAGUGCAGUAGGGGAGGCUGGAAUUCCUGGUGUAGCGGUGGAAUGCGCAGGUAUCAGGAGGAAUACCGGUGGCGAAGGCGGGUCUCUGGGCUGUUACUGACACUGAGGAGCGAAAGCAUGGGGAGCGAACAGG
rnacentral:rRNA from 1 species